CGGCAGAGCCAGGGGCGCCUUCGGGCUGAGAUGUACCCUUUGAACCUGACCCAGAUCAUGCUGGCGGAGGAAGGCGCGACCGAAGCCGG
rnacentral:ncRNA from 1 species